AUCUGUUCAAAUUUCAGUCGACAAAACAGCUGGCCUCCAUAAAGUCAUUUCAUUUCCCAUCACCGACUUAGCCUUAAUGGUAGCAGAUUUCCACAAAUCUUUUAGUCUUCUGCUACAUAUUCAAAACCACUAUUUUCUUUCAGUCUGGAUGCCUUGGACGCUUCCUCUCCAUAGCGCAAUGGACGAAUCUGGGAAUAUCUCCGACCAGCCGCAAAUGGAGUUGCAAUAUUGGAAUGGAUGACUAAUUUGGAGGCCAAUAUUUCCCCCUCUUCGUUUCGAACAACUAACCACGAAGCAGAUCUUGAAAGUUGUUGGUCAAAAGCCACAUCGAAAUAAAUCGCCACAGAUAGUCUUCUUUCAAUAGACUUAGGAACCAUGCUAGCAUCUAAGAUUAACCAAAGCCCACAAUAAAAAGGCGACUCUGUUCGUUUGUUCUUUGACUGAAUACCCAGGUUAACCAACUCCAUACACUAUCAGUGUUGUUUUGCAGUACCCAAGAAAGCUUUAAAAAUCUCCAUACUUCUAUCGUUGUAGGGCAGCUACGGAAGACAUGGUUACAGUCCUCCUCCACCUGUUUACAUUGGGAACAACGAGCAUCAGAAGCAACUUGUCUUUGCUUCAGAUUAACAAAAGUUGGAAUGUAAUUCCAAGAUAUCCUCUAGAUUGUAAUUUUAACUUUCGAGGGCAUUUGUAAAUUCUAUAGCUUUUUGAAAAACUUUUAGUUUCGGUCUGUAUAAUAAUAGGAUUUAGAGUAGCCUCCUGUAAUAGUUUGUAGGCGCUUCGAACAGAAAAAUAACCAGAAGGCUCUCCUUUCCAGACUUGGAAGUCUUCAUGCGCUAUACUACACUCACCAAAGGAAUCUGCUUGAUCUUUCUAGUUAAAUCCGCUCUGAAUGUAUUGUCAAUUAAGUCUGCUUUCCAUGUUCUGUUAACUUCAUCUAUCAAAUCCGAUACUAAUACAAAA